UAAAACAGUGACUUUGUGCGUGCGUUCGUU
rnacentral:piRNA from 1 species